rnacentral:rRNA from 1 species
GUGCCCUACGGGGGGCAGCAGUGAGGAAUAUUGGUCAAUGGCCGAAGGGCUGAACCAGCCAAGCCGCGUGAAGGAAUAAGGCCCUACGGGUCGUAAACUUCUUUAGUCAGGGAACAAAGGGUGCCACGCGUGGCGCUGUGAGUGCACCUGAAGAAUAAGCAUCGGCUAACUCCGUGCCAGCAGCCGCGGUAAUACGGAGGAUGCGAGCGUUAUCCGGAUUUAUUGGGUUUAAAGGGUGCGUAGGCGGAAUGCCAAGUCAGCGGUAAAAUCGCGGGGCUCAACCUCGCUCCGCCGUUGAAACUGGC